GAGCUAUGAUGACAAUUGCGCCCAACGUUGGCGGUAGGGUCUGCCACAAUCAUCUGAUUUACAGAUGAAAGUAGGCGCUUCUGAGCUC